AACUCCUUUCCCUUUACAAUAAAAUUGUCUGAAAAUUCCUCAAACCCUAGAAUCAUCUUUCCUUAACCUCUCUUCACAUCAUCUCUCUCAACCUCUCCCAGAACCGCCACCAGAAUUUGCUUGUGGUGGCAGUUAAUCCCAAAAUCCACCCAAGCCAUCACCUUAUAGUCUAAUCCUUCAUCCUCAUUCUAUAACCACCACUAUUUCCUUCAAAGAAUCACUCAUUCUUUUCCAAUCAAAGAUCUAAGAAUAAAAAUACAUUCUUUUUGAUCUUGUUCCCAUAUUUCCUUCUAUUCCGUUUUCUCUAGUACUAGAGCUUAUUUGAAUCAAUUCAUUUGGAUAAGUUUUCAUUUCAAACCUUCAACUCCUUAUGGAUUUCUAACCUGUGAAGUAUUUGCCUGACUGAGAAUCGGAAUAAAUACUUAUCGGCCAAAAAUGUUUGGCGAUUUGAUGAAGCAAACUCAGGAAGCCAUUUUUUUCUCCUCAAUGCUCCUUUUGCCGUCCUCAUCAUCGUUUGGCGCUUCUGGUUCUAAUUGGUAAUUCCUCUGCUUGUUGGCAUUUCAAUAAAUUAGUUUAAUUUUGUGUUUUGCAUGUACCUUUGUUAGUUUUGUUGCAUUAAUUCCCUAGUUCAGUGUCCAGUUGUUUCUGUUUGUUUAAAUCUUAAUUGAUUUUAGGUGUUGUUAGUGGAAUUUGGGUCCGGGUAGUACACCCAUCAAACACAACAUUUGAUGGGCUGUGUAACCCAACUUGAGCUGGUCCAGUCUAUUUCUUGUUUAGAAAAUCCCACUCUUGGAAGCCUACUAAAACAAAAGAAGUAAAAGAGAACAGUAAAAAAAGAGAGGAAAUUGUAAUUAGCUAGAGUUUAGAGGAUAUUACGGGAUUUUUAUGUUGGGGAAUCUUUCUGUUAUAACAAAAAGAAAUUUUUGGAAGAAAGAAAAGGACUGGUCUCUGCAAAAGAAAACAGAUACAACUCAUGUUUUGGGGCCUAGAAGUCAAAUAACAAAAGUAAAAAGGAUAAAGUUAAAUUAGAAAAUCAGGUUUUUAUUGCCCUAACAUAAUCCUUUUCUCAUUCAUCAGGGAGUCAGAGACAAAAAAGAGACACAGCUGCUAGAAAUUUACGUUUUCGUUUACAUAUGAGUUAAUUAGCUUGUUUACCUUGAAAAUAGUAAUAACAAUUAGAUUUGAUUUUGUGGUUCUAAAAAUAUGUGAUCUAUUUUUAUGCUAGUUGUUUGGACAUCGAUGCUAAGUGAAAGAUUAGGGAAAAAUAAGAUAAUAGCUUGUGAACAGUGUAAUAAUCAAACCGAAUGGUUGGAAAUCGGGGCCUCGAGCUUGCGUAUACAGGCCUCGAGGUCGAGUCUGAUGCCCGGCUAAAGGCAGUUGAUGGAGGAUUAACAGUUAUGAUAAACAUGAUGAUGGCUCUUUAUGACCGAUAAUGAGCAAUAAAUGAAGAAUAAUUAAUGAAAUGUAACAAAUAUGAGCAAGACGAUAAAUGUAAGCAAUAAGAUCGAACAGAGAAUAUGUUUUAGUUAGAGAGAAAAAAAUGUUCUUGUAUUGGAUGUAGCGUGUAAUGAUAUUAUCCGUCCCCCUUACAAAAAUGACAAGGUUCCCCUUUAUAUGUGAGAAAAAAAUCCCAAUAUGACAGAUGCAUAAUUAUUACAUAAAUUAGCUGGUACAACCACCUAAUCAGUCUGGUGCACGCUGUCACUGUUUGCGCAGGCGUUGUUAGAAAAUACUGCUCCUAGGGAACUUCCCACUUACUUGUGAUAAGCACCGGUUCAUUCCACCCCGACACCAGGCACGAAGAAUUCUCGAAGACAUUGAAACCUAAGCUAUUAUUCGGGCCCUUCGAGUUGAAAUUACGUAAUGCCUCGUCGACCGUAAAAUUAGUCUUCCCGAUUUUAGCUGUAUACAGAUAGUCCUCGCGUUUCUCAGAGUAAAACAAAGAGAAACUUCCUUGAGAUCUUUCCUCUCUGGCGCUUCUAUCGAAGCGAAUAGUUGUGUCCUUCCAAGUGACUGAUGUAAUAUACAUGGCUUCUAAAGGUCGCGACCACACAAUCCUCAAAGUCUUCGAAUUAAUUAUAGUGGUUGGCUAUCCUUUGGUCUGCUCCAAUCGCACAUGUUAGGCGUCUAUAAAUACUCAUUUCUCCGCCCCUUACUCUCUGUUGCAUCAUCAGGCUCCCAACAGAGUUUUUCUUCCCUCUUACCUCUUUCUCGUGCCCUUUCCUGAAACGUGAUUUUUCCUCUUCGAAGCCGGGGCGAUGUGAACCCACGUCUCGAUACAUCAGUUUUAUAACGGACAUCGAAAGGGUGAAAAUCAAUUGUCGCUGGGGAGAUGCGGUGUUAGUGGAGGUUCUUUCUCGGGGAGAGGAUGUAACGAUGUAUAAGGCCGACUUCCUCAGUGUGUAUACUUAUCCAUUUACCCUCGGCCCGUCGGUGCCAUCCAUGCCUUCGAUAGACCCCAUGAUCCUCGACUUCUGCGAACGAUAUCAAGUGACUCUCGGCCAAAUUCACCCGUCAUUUUAGCGUAUCGUUUACAUGACCAGGUAUUACGCGAAUAUGAUUAGGGGGCUGCCCUUCACCCUUGACCAUUUGAUCAGAAUGUAUAGUCCCCGACUCUUUGUGGGGGCCUGAUUAAGCUCCGCUGUCGGGCCUCGACGGCCCUCUUCGCUUGUACCGACGAGGCUAGGAAUGGGGGAUGGAUGAGCCGUUUCAUCCGAGUUAGGACUUCGGACUUGAUCCCCGCAGAGAGGAUGUCGUUCCUCGAAAGAUGAAACAUGAAGCGUAAGUAGACAUACUUGAAUAACUCCCAUUUCUUUCUUUCGGAUACAUUUCCUUAUGAACUGACUUCCCCCGCUGAUACAGCUGUCGCAGUGUACCCUGAUGCGGUAAGGAAUCUUUCAGGUUGGGUAGCUAAACUGGACUCGAUUUGACCAUAUGUCGAGCGCAUGUGGCGCGAUUUAUCCAAGUCUCGAUGGGAAGCCAAGGAUCAUGGUGGGACUCCAUUCACCGUUAUACUUUUAGUUUUACAAAAGUUGCUGCUAAUUGCAUUCUCAUUCCCCGUACUUGUUUUUGUAUUUGGGCAGGUCUGGGGUGGUCUUCUUGAUGAGAGAAACUCUGCCUGGUCAAGCGGGUGCGCCAACACCUGAUGAAGAGAGGAAAAAAUGAGGGGGAUCGUCGACUUAUCCUCCGAAAUCCAAGAAAACCAUAAUGGAAGAUCCUAAGGAUGAUUCAAUAGCCUUAAUUCUAGAAGCGUGAAGGGGUCCCUGAGCUGGAGGCGAAAAGAAAGAUGAGUCUUUGACAGCACCCGAAGCGGAAGAGGAUUUUACUGUUUCACAUACCUUUGAUUUGGCGGCUUCUGAAUUGUAGCUCGGUUCCAUUGUUGCCCCGCCUCGGGCUGGAGAGUCCGGCGAGGGUGUAUCGGGCGCUAUUGUCGAGUCGACUGAUGGCCAAAAUUUCCCUCGAGUCAAGGUGCGCUCGGUAGGUGAUCCAGGGGAGCCCAAUUUCGAAGCUCUUCAGAAGCAAGAGACAACCCUGAUUGACCUAGUCGAGGUCGUUGAAGUGAGUGAUUCCCCUUCGGAAUCGGCUUUUCCUCCGAGGGAGAUGCAAGAUACCCCAAUACAGAGCCUCUCAACGUGGGGACGCCCGUUGGUGAUAAAAAUAUGUUUGAAAAGCCUUCUGCUAAGCAUGAGGAAGAGCUUAAGCUUGACAUUUUGCUUAUUUUUAAUGAGAUCGAUAGGCUAUGCGAGUAGGUAAUCUAUUCGUAAAUUCUGCUUGGGGCCCCGACCUUUGACCUGCUAACCUUACUUCUUUCAUGGUUCUAGGCCAAGGUGCUUUAUAAUCAAAUGAUCGCCAAUUUUUAAACCGAGCUGACUCGCCGUGAGGGCGAACAUACGAAGCUUACCUCGAAAGCCGAUGAGCUCAGGGCUCUUUCUACCAAGAGGGAGGAAGAACUCCAUGGACUUCGGGAUUGCUUGGAGGCAACGUCACGGGAAAAGGCUCAUCUUAUUGAACAGGUUACGUAGUUCCCGUUUAGUUUUUGCCUGUACGUCUAACUGACUUCCGUGUUUUAAUAUCUUUGGGUCAAUUUUUGCAGUUUAAGGAGAAAGAUGUCCUUAUGGGGAAGGAACUUCGAGCCAGGGACUCCGAAAUUCUCAAGCUCAAGCGGCAUUUGAGUGAGGUAAUCUCUGAGAGAGAUCCCUCCAGGGAGAGGUGGUUUCGAUCGGACGUUUCCUUGAAGAUGCGAAGGAUGAGAGCAGUAAGCAUAAGGAUCUUUAUACUAAGUUGGUUGCUACGCUAUCCGAGGUCAGGGAUGAGGCCGAGGCGCUUGUGACCUCGCAUAAGGAGGAUGUCGCUACUACAAUUGCUCAGGCUCGGAAGGUGUCCGAAGAGGCUGAGUUGUGCCUGACCCGAGCAGUAGAGCAUGCCCGGUUAGAAUCUUGGAGACAGAUGUUCGAGGAUAUAAAUGCGGGGGGAGUUGAUUUAAUCGUCGAGAUUGAGAGGGUGAAGAUCCUAGAAGAGGGAGUUGCGGCCCUACUUCCUUCUGAAAGUGAGUCGAGCAGUGACUAGGGAGGUGAUGGAGAUGGAGGCUAAGUCCCAGAAGGGGAAGAGGCUGUUGGAAACCCGGAGGUUAUAGCCGAAGCUGCAGAAAGCGUACUUUCUGAGGAGGUCGUCGAAGGCAUAACUCUGGUGAUAGAUUUAGGUUUUCAUUUGCUUUCUACCUUCGUAAGGGCUCCAUAUGUAGACUUUAUAAUUGUACUUUUAUGAAUCUUUUUAUAUGUGUGUCAAUUUUUUACCUUUUUUUUCCUUUGAACGACUUGUGGCAUUCGUUUGGCAGUUGAUCCGAAGUCGUGGGUCUCAAAUUUUGACCCUUGGGUUCCUACUACUGCCGAGCAUUUUGCAAUGGCCGAGAGUCGACCUGUAAGUCUAUCAUGUUGGAUCUGAGGCCAUUUGCACGGAUUUUUUAGAUUCUCACGCGUCGGGGUCGAUACGACCUUUUAAUGUAAGCUAGCGUCUUAGGCUCUUAUUCUUUUGCUCUUAGGCAUAUUCAGUUAACUACUUCUGGUUCAGUCUCCGAAUCAGGUUUCGACUCGAGCUCAUUGACCCUUAAGUUUUUGAAUUUAAAGCUGGCCCUUAGGCUCUUACGCAUUAGGUCGGCGUGACCUCUCGUACGAGCAGGCAGCAGUAGCUCUUACGCAUUGGGUUGGUACGACCCUUUAUGUGGGUUGGCGAUAGUGGCUCUUACGCAUUGGGUCGGUAUGACCCUUUAUUUGGGAUAGCGAUAGUGUCUCUUACGCAUUGCGUUGGUACGACUCUUUAUAUGGGCUUUAUGUUUCCAUCGAUAAGGACUUUUUUGACAUUGUGUUUGCCUGACUCUUUUGACGGUUCGAUAAAAACCUCAAUUGUGAGUCAUUAUGUGGCGAUGAACGAGCACCUCAGGAGGUCUCGGUGGCUGAGUGUUUCGAAGCUUAUAGUUUGGAGCUGACAUGGUCAAAGCUCUUUUGCCUAUGUCGAGGGCAGCCUAUUUAACCGGUUCUUUUUGAGGUACUUUCGAAGUAAUUGGAGGCCUGUGAUUUUAUAGUGACGGUUGGCCUCCUCGAGUCGCAUUAGUUUGGCUAGUACAGCCCUGUGACCGUAGUCAUUAUGUUUGGCUGGAGCCUUUCAGUCCCCGAGUAAAGUAGUUUCGGCGUCUAUAUCGAGGGUAUGCCUUUUUAGGGGUCUUACAAGUUCGAAUAUAUAGCCUCAACUUUAAGUUCGGGAUAAUGCCUUUUUGUAAGGUCUUAUAAUUUUUACAUGCCUUUGAGGUCUUACAGCUUUGGUUACUUGGUACAAGUAUGGUUUAUGCCAUGUUCGAGGUCUUACAGAUAUUGUUACUUGGUACAAGUAUAGUUCGUGCCUUGCUUGAGGUCUUACCGAUAUUUUUACUUGGUACAAGUAUAGUUCAUGCCUUGCUUGAGGUCUUACAGAUAUUGUUGUUGCCUUAUAUAGAUCGGUCGAGACCGAGGUUGCCCACAUGGGGUAUUAUUGCUUUGGGGUUUUGACAAGUCGAUGAGGUAGGGAUUGGCGAUAGUCCCGGGGGCAUUGAAGGUUUCUUGAUGCCAGUCCCGGAGUGUUCGGGAUUCCAGUCUCUGGGUGUUCUGGAUGCCAGUCCCCGAGUGUUCAGGAUAUAUUUUUUUUUAUUUAUUCUGGAGCCAUUUUUUGCAAACUUUGUGUUGCCUGAUUGAGGGCUUACGAAUCUCGAGCGUCUGACCCGGAGGUCAUAUGACUUCAAGUUAUUGACGCUAGUCCCCGAGUGUUCGGGACAUUUUGUGCCCUGGAGCCGCUUUUGUAGAAAUAGAAAAUUUCUUUGAAACAUGAAAUGCUUUGACAGAGGGGAAAGUAUUCUUUUUUUACUUGGUACAAGUAUACAUGUUCUCGCUGUCAGGUGCUCGAUUAUUCUAUACAGGCAUGGUUCAUUCGACCAUUUGGCUCGGUACAUCGUUUUCCUAUCGGGACCUCGCUUAGCACGUCUUGGCUUCUCCGAGGAGGUGACCUUCCGGGGGGUGCCCCACAAUAUUUAAGGUUGGUUGAAGAGAAGCCUUGAAUACUUGUUGAGUCUUCCUUAGGUAGCAUAUAGAUGUUGCCUUAUUAAAAACCGUGUGGGUAAAAAAACCUUUUUUGGGGAUGAAAACCCCGAUCGAAGGAAAAGAGUGCAACACAUGCCUUCGAAACCUAGGGCCUUUGAGCUUUUAGAAGCAAUAGCGUUUGAGCAUUGAUACAUUCAAAUUGCUUGGAAGUCGUUCACCUUACAUGGUGCCGAGUUUGUAGGACCCUUUUCCAACUACCCUAAGGACUCGGUACGGUCCUUCCCAGUUCUAACCUAGCUUUCAUUCAUUGGUAUUUCGAGUAUUCAAGUUGACUUUCCUUAGGACUAAAUCCCCAAUUCAAAAAUGUCGGAGAUUUGUUCUCCUGUUGUAGUAUCUUUCGAUCCUCUAUUUUUUUGCGACUAUUCGGACCGGCUAUUGGGCUGUUUGUUCGAGCUCUCGAUGGUGUGUUAGAAUCUGGCGGUGGGUUCUCCGAACUCUACCGAUAUAAAAGCGUCGAAGCCAUAUACCAGGGAGAAAGGCGUUUUCCCCGUGCUUGAUUUUGGAGUUGUUCGAUAUGCCCAGAGCUCUUCGUGUAAUAUUUCUCUCCAUCUUCUCUUUUACACUUUCCAGCUUAUUUUUUAAGUUUUGAAUGAUGGUGUUGUUUGUGGACUCAUCUUGUCCAUCUGCACACAGGUGGUAGGUUGUUGACAGGAUCCUUUUGAUCUUGUGAUCCUCGAGGAACCGAGUCACUUUGCUUCCGAUGAAUUGCUUCCCAUUAUCACACGUUAUCUCGGAAGGAAUUCUAAAUCGGCAUAUGAUAUGGUCCCAGAUGAAAUUAAUGACUUCUUUUUCUCUUAUUUUUUUGAAGGCUUGUGCUUCAACCCAUUUUGAGAAGUAGUCAGUCAAAAAUAAAAUUAAUCUAGCUUUACCUGGCACCGUUGGUAGAGGUCCGACGAUGUCCAUCCCCCAUUUCAUGAACGGCCAGGGCGACAAAACUGAAUGUAGUUGUUCACCAUGUUGGUGAAUCAUUGGGGCGAAUCUUUGGCAUUUGUCUCAUUUGCGGACGAAUUCUUUGGUGUCCUUCUCCAUGCUAUCCCAAUAGUAGCCCACCCUGAUUACUUUUCGAACUAAAGAAUCGGCAUCAGAGUGAUUUCCGCAGGUGCCCUCAUAUAUCUCUCGGAGCACAUAGUCUGUGUCCCUCGGCCCUAGACAUACUGCUAGGGGGCCAUCAAAAGUUCUUCUGUAAAGAGUUCUAUUUUUGUCGAGCGAGAAUUGGGUCGCUUUGGUUCGUAGGGCCAUCGACUAUUUUGGGUCUGUGGGUAGCUUCCCGCUCUAAAAAUAAUCGAUAUAUUUAUUUCUCCAAUCCCAUGUUAGGCUAGUGGAGUUGAUCUCGGCAUGGCCUUCUGCGAUAACUGAUUUGGAUAGUUGAACAACGGAUCCGGGGAGUAUGUCAUCUUCCUUGACUGACGAUCCCAGGUUUGCGAGGGCAUCUGCUUCGCUAUUCUCCUCUCGAGGUCUGUGGACCAGAGUCCAUUAUCUGAAGCGGUGCAAUGUGAUUUGAAUUUUGUCUAAGUAUCGUUGCAUCCUGUCUUCCCGAACCUUGAUGCUCCCAUUUACCUGAUUUACCACCAGGAGGGAAUCACAUUUUGCUUCAAUGACUUCAGCUCCUAGGCCUUUGGCCAAUUCCAGACAUGCAAUCAUAGCCUCAUACUCGGCUUCAUUGUUAGUUAACCUUGUGGUUUCUAUAGAUUGUCAAAUCACGCCGCCCGUAGAUGGCCUUAGAACUAUGCCGAGCCUGGACCCUCUUACGUUUGAGGCGCCAUCAGUGAACAAGGUCCAUAUCCCGGAAGAUGUGCCCGUUUUUAGCAAAAGUUCUUUCUCGACCUCGGGUACGAUGGAGGGAGUGAAGUAGGCUACGAAGUCUGCCAAAAUCUGAGAUUUGAUAGCCAUUCGGGGCUGAUAUUCGAUAUUAUAUCCCCCGAGUUCGAUGCCCCAUUUGGCCAGUCGGCCCGACAAUUCGGGUUUAUGCAAUAUGCUUCAAAGGGGAUAUGUUGUUAAAAUGCAAAUAUGAUGGCAUUGGAAGUAAGGUUUCAAUUUUCGAGACACACUUAUUAAUGCAAGAGCUAGUUUUUCCAGGUGCGGAUACCUGGUUUCGGCAUAACCCAGGGUUCGACUUACGUAAUAAAUAGGGAAUUGCGUACCUUGUUCUUCUCAAACCAGCACACCACUUACCUCUAUUUUGGAUACGGUCAGGUAUAAAUACAAUGUCUCAUCCUCUUUUAGGGUGUGGAGCAAAGGCGGGCUUGUCAGGUAUCGCUUCACCUCCUCCAAGGCGCGUUGGCAUUCUGAAGUCCAUUCGAAGUUGUUAUUCUUUUUGAGCAGGGAGAAGAAAUGGUGACUUCUGUCCGACGAACUUGAUAUACACCGGCCCAAGGCUGCUAUCUGCCCGGUCAGCCGUUGCACGACCUUUACGUUAUUUACCCCCGUCAUUCAUAUGAUCAUCGGAGGGGUCGAUGUUCAUCAAGGUCUGAUGAUAAAGCACACCAAAGUAUCAAUGCUGCUCCAUAAUGAUGCACUGGUAAUUUCUGUACUCAUGAAUAAAACUUGAGUUAAACAUGUGCUAAUUGAUCCAGGUAGCUUGGCCAAAAUCAUUCGAUCGAGGGUCAUAGAACAACUUGGCCUAUAGGACCAAAUCAUACCUGCGACCUGAGUGCUAAACGGAUUCAACAUGGCUUGUGAAACUUUAAGAGAGUAAUAAUGUUGCCGGUAAACGUAGCCGGUACCACCCAAGAAACCAUGUUUUAUGUAAUCGAAGGGGACAUUAGGUACAAUGCCCUGCUUGGGAGGCCAUGGAUCCGCAACAUGAGGUCUGUGCCCUCGACCCUUCAACAGUUAUUAAAAUUUCAAACAGCAGAAGGGAUAAAGACGGUUUACGGGGAGCAACCCGCUGCAAAGAAGAUGUUUGCCAUUGAUGAAGCAAUCCCGAUAUCAACUCUCUUAUCAAUAAAGGACUCAGGUUUGAUAGUAAAAUAGGAAGCAAAAUAGCAAUCACCGAUGCCAGCCUCGACCCAAUCUGACAAGCAAGAGAUUGAGGAAGACGACAAUUACAAGGUUCCUCGAACCUUUAUAGCUCCCGAUGAUUUCGAUGCUACUAAAUCAACGAUCGAAGAGCUGGAGGAAGUCGUACUAAUCGAACAUCUGCCCGAUCAAAAGGUAUACCUGGGCAUGGGGUUAACUCCCGAGCUCAGGAAAAAGCUCAUUUAAUUUCUUAUAGCUAAUAAAGAUUGUUUUGCUUGGUCCGAUCUCGAUAUUAUAGGGAUCCAACCGGAGAUCACCACUCACAAGCUGAGCUUGGACCCGAAGUUCUAUCCGGUAAAGAUGAAAAGGAGACCUCAGUCCAAGAUCAAGUGUGCCUUCAUCAAGGACGAGAUAACUAAACUCCUUAAAAUAGGGUCCAUUUGAAGUUGUUUUUCCUUUUGAGAAGGGAGAACAAAAUGAUGACUUCUGUCCGAUGACCUUGGUAUAAACUGGUCCAAGGCUGCUAUCCGCCCGGUCAGGCGCUGCACGACUUUUACGUUAUUUACCACCAUAAUUUCUUCGAUGGCUUUGAUUUUAUCAGGGUUGAUCUCGAUUCCUCUAUUCAAUUCCAUGAAACCUAAGAAUUUGCAUGGUCCUACCUCGAAGGCACACUUCUUGGGAUUGAGUUUCAUGUUGUAACUUCUGAGGAUGUCAAAUGUUUCCUGCAAAUGAAUCAAAUGGUCCUCUGCGCACAGGGACUUAACUAGCAUAUUGCCAAUAUAAACUUCCAUGAACUUGUCUAUUUGAUGCUCGAACAUCUUAUUAACUAGGCAUUGGUAUGUGGCCCCUGCAUUUUUUUGCCCUAAGGGCAUUAUAUAGUAAUAGUUCGUACCGUACUUCGUGAUGAACGAAGUCUUUUGUCUAUCCUCGGGGGUUCAUCUGAAUUUGAUUAUACCCCGAAUAGGCAUCCAGAAAAGUGAGGGUUCCAUGGCAGACCGUGGCGUCAAUCAAACGGUCGAUGUUGGGCAGUGGGAACGAGUUCUUUGGGCAUGCCCUAUUUAGAUCUUUGUAAUCUACGCACAUUCUUAGUUUAUUCCCCUUUUUGGGAACUACCACCAUAUUGGCCAGCCGUUCGGGAUAUUUUACUUCCCUAAUAGACACUAUUUUGAGGAGCUUCGUUACCUCGUCUUUGAUGAAUGCAUGCUUUAUCGAGGACUGGGAUCACCUUUUUUGCUUCACCGGUUUGUACCUGGGGUCGACACUUAGUCGAUGGGUAGUUAUCUCAUGUGGGAUCCCUGUCAUGUCUAAAUGGGAUCAAGCAAAGCGAUCGAUGUUGUUAAUAAUGAGUUGAAUGAGUUUUUUCCUGAGUUCGGGGUGCGUUUACCGAGAUAGACAUUUUGACAUAAAAUCAAAGAUUCUUGGAUAAGAAAAGGUGUGAAAGAUAACUUGCGUUAUGUAGUAAACCAGCAAGAAAACAAUCACUAUUAUUUUUAGCCCCACGGUGGGCGCCAAACUAUUUACCUUGAAAAUGGUAAUAAUAAUUAGAUUUGAUUUUGUGGUUCUAAAAAUAUGUGAUCUAUUUUUAUGCUAGUUUUUAGGCCAUAGAUGCGAAGUGAAAGAUUAGGGAAGAAUAAGAUAAUAGCUUGUGAAUAGUGUAAUAAUCAAACCGAAUGGCUGGAAAUCGGGGCCUCGAGCUUGCGUAUACAGGGCCUCGAGGUCGAGUCGGAUGCCCGGCUAAAGACAGUCGAUGGAGGAAUAACAAUUAUGAUAAACUUGAUGACGGCACUUUAUGACCAAUAAUGAGCAAUAAAUGAAGAACAAUUAAUGAAGUGUAACAAAUAUGAGCAAGACGAUAAAUGUAAGUAAUUGGAUCGAACAGAGAAUAUGUUUUAGUUCGAGAGAAGAGAAUGUUCUUGUAUUGGAUAUAGCGUGUAAUGAUAUUGUCCAUUCCCCUUACAAAAAUGACAAGGGUUCCCUUUAUAUAUGAGGGGAAAAUCCCAAUAUGACACAUGCAUAAUUAUUACAUAAAUUAGCUGGUACAACCACCCAAUCAGCCUGGUGCAGGUGUCACUGUUUGCGCAGGCGUUGUCAGAAAAUACUGCUCCUAAGAAACUUCCCACUUACUUGUGAUAAGCACCGGUUCAUUCUGCCCCGACACCGGGCACGAAGAAUUCUCGAAGACAUCGAACCCUGAGCUAUUCUCCGGUCCUUCGAGAUGAAAUUACGUAAUGCCUCGUUGACCGUAAAAUUGGUCUUCCCGAUUUUAGCCAUAUACAUAGGUGUUAAAAACACUCCAAAAUCAGAGAAGAUAUAGUGAAAAAAAAAAGGGUUAAAAGCUGCUUCUAAUCUCUCUGGAUUCUUGCAUCAUUUCUGGGUUCAAAAGUUUGGUUGAUUUGAAGCAAUUACUGAUUUUAAUGCUGUUGUCUCUUUUUGCCGUAUAACGGAUCUCAUCCAUAAGCGUCCUGGGCUUCUAUUUGACUUGGCCGAGUUUCUUUCUUUGCAAUUAAGUUUCUUAUAAGGCUUUAUGAUUUGCAAUGAGCUUAAUGAAUAAGACAUAGUUGAUUAAUGUAACGCGUUGGUCGAUUUGGAAGAUCUUUGCCUGUUUUAUGUAUUAUUCAUGCCUACAACAUGUCUAUUCUCAUGAAUAGUUUACUGGUGAUUAGAGGUUUAGUCCUUAGAUGUAAAGUGACCUCCGCAGGAGUGCAAUGGAGCUGGCCAGUAUUCCAGAGUUAUCACAUGUCACCUAUGUUUAGAUUAUUCGCAUGGAUAGUCAUUCGUAUAAUAGGGCAAAUCUGUAUUUUGAUUAUGCCAGGAUUCAUUUCUGAAUAUGAAGGAUGAAAAGGUGAAGUGAGGAAGUUUUCAGCUUUGUAGUUUUGAUUAGAUAAACCGAGAACAUCAUUUUUUUUUAAAAAAAAUAAAAUAAAAUAUCAGCUGCUGAAAAUGUUUGUUUUUAUUGUAAAUUCAAACUAUAUCCUUUGGUGUAAUGAACUGAAUAGUCCCUUUCAAUUUCGACGAUUACAUGAAGUUAUUUAAGAAGAAUUUGCUCGUAAUUUCAUUUACGUGAAAUUGUUGGAUUGUUUUAGGCUGUUGUAGUUUAGUAGAGUAUCAUUUAUGUACUAUAAGCUAAUGUAUGAGUUUUCUCCUUUUAUUAUUUUUCUUCCAUUUUAUAGUCUAUCACAAUUGGCAUGAAUUUCGGAUGGUUUGCAUUAUUCAUUAUGGCCAUGUAUAAAAUAUUGAUUUCUGCAAAAAUUAUGUCUGUCUUGGCUCACUUUGUUAGGCUCAAUGUGGAGUUUGGCCCAUUUGAGGGAGGUCUGCCGUAUGCCAAUCUGAUGAAGGGCUCACUAGGAAAAGACCAUGCAAUACGUAAAAAUUGCACGGGGCGUCCUAUUUGGUCGCCCCCAUUUAACAUAUACCUAUUUUUUUAAUUUGUACUCAUUUUUUAAAUAACUUCAGCCCCCUUUCUCCUCAUCCUUGCUUUGCAACUCUCUCGAAUCUUAUACAGGAGAAUCUCAGCUAAGAACCUUAGGACGUUCUUCCCAUGCAGUGACACUAUAUAAAUGAACACUUUCUUCCUGGUCUCUCAAUGUCAGUCUCCUUUUACUAGUUGUUUUUUAGGAUAAUGCAUAAAAUACUCCUCGACCUAUGACCAUAUUACAAACUACACACCUUUUCUUUUCGGGGAUCUUAUUACCCUCUUGAACUUUUUUUAAGUAAUAUUAUUUACCCCUUAAAAGGCAACAACCAGAUGUAUACAAGGUGGUGAAAUACACGCGCCUAAAAUGUGUAUUUCUUGCUUAAAAACUUUUUUUCACCGUUUUCUCCUUCUUCCUUAUUUUCCUAUUUGCAGGCCUUCAUUACCAUAUCCGGUCAAAAGGCAAAAACCUCAUUUAAUGGGUUUUAUAUAACACUUGUUUGAUAUUGUCAGAUCUGGCCGGAGAACGAAACUCCGACGAAGACCCUUGCUCCAACGAAACUCCAGUGAACGAAACCGUUUUGACUAUUCGUAGGUUCUUACUAAAUCAUGCUCGUUGCUCCCUCUAGUUGUAGCUCUGUUUCUAUUACUAAACAUAUCUGCUUUUGAUUUCUAGGUUGAUUUUGGCGUUGUAUUGAAUUUUUGCUCCGGUAUUUCAUUGUUGAAACGACGUCCCCCUUGUUCGUGCGAGAAGAGGUUUAGAAGUGAAGGAGACUAAUUAAUUUGAUGUAAUUAAUUCUGUAAUGUCCCAUCAAAAGAUGACACUUGUACUUAUUAAACAAUUUUAAAAUUAUUUUUGUUACUUCCACUUGCCUUUAAGAGAGUGUGCACACUCUCUAUGCCACGCCAGCACUUAAGGUGGUGUUUAUUGCACUUUAAAAUAGUUUGGGGGGGGGGGGGGUAAUAGGACCCCCGAAAAGAAAAGGUGUGUAGUUGGUUAUAUGGUAAUAGGUCGGGGAGGAUUUUAUGCAUUAUCCUUUUUUUUUGUUUAACUGGACUCUAACACCCACAGAAAACAGCAAGGAUCUGCACAAUCUCCUGAAUACUUUAGAACAUAGAAUCUGG
rnacentral:lncRNA from 1 species